CAGUCGUCCAAACUCCGCCCACAGCAACAGCCAUUCAAAACACAGCCCCUCCACUUUCAAUGGUCUGAGUUCCCACCAAUCACAGCAGACCAUGUCCCCCCUGCGGCUCCCGGGUCGUUAGCCAAUCACUGUGCACUUUACGCCACACAUGACUCUGUGCUGCUGUCCGUCAACUGCCUGAUAUAUAGUGCAUGCAGGGAAACGUGGAACAGUUCAAUAACUUGUGCCGUAGCCAGGACGUGUGUGUGUGUGUGUGUGUGUGUGUGUGUGUGUGUGUGUGUGUGUGUGUGUGUGUGUGUGUGUGUGUGUGUGUGUGUGUGUGUGUGUGUGUGUGUGUGUGUGUGUGAGUGAGUGAGUGAGUGGGGGGGUUGCAUGCACGGGAGAAUGUGUGUGCUUGUUUAUCUACGUAGAAGUACGGAAGGAGAGAGAGGGAGGGAUGGCGACAGACAGGAAAAGAGGGAGAGAGAGAUUUGUAAGGCUUGUGUUUGCACACUCCUGGACGAGUUCCCACUAGAGGCAGAGAGAUCAGACUGAAAGACUGUUUGUCAGGAGUGUGUGUUUCUGGGAGACACACAGAGAAGCGGGCAGACAGAAGAAGAGAGGAACCCGUUCAACCCAUUUCAGCAGCAACUUUUGAGAGCAACUCGCCCUGAAUAUGGAGGCUUUUCACUGUCCUCUGCACGACUCCUUCUCCGUCCUGCGACUUCUCACUUGACGGUUAUGUUGCCGCUCUUUUGGUCACACUUGAGGUAGAAGAUGCGAUGUGGCAGCUCGGCUCAGACACACUGCUUCUUUAGCACCUCUGCUGCUUCUGGUUCCUGCUGGCCCUUCAUCAUCUGAGCCGCCGCUGACACGACUGGCACCACAUUCUGGGCCAAAAGACAACACAACCACAGCACUAGAUAGUCACAUUUAGCUUCUAUUCCUUGGCGUUUUCUAUCUGUUUAUCUUGGACAUGUGUUUUCAAUGGGAGCCAGUAAGCGAAGCACAGGCAACUGGUUCUGUUGGUGAAACACCUCCUGGUGCCCACAGUGAACAUUCAACGCUGUCGGUGAGUUUGAGCCCAAACCAAACCAUCGACCGUUGACUGUACCCUGAGGGACGCCACAGCCAGAACCGAAGGAGGACGGUUCAGCUCUGCUCCUGCUCCACGGCCUGGGAACCAUCACACCUGGACCAACGUCAACACAUCCCACCCCGCAGAGACGUUCACCAUUAAGGCUGCAAUAAACAUUCAUUGCUGUCGGUGGGUUUACCUGAGAAUAACUCACUGAUCAAUGAAUGCAGACUGCGGUUCAAACACCUCAGAAAGUACCCAUUUAUGGGGACCAACAAGCAAUAAUGUAGACCAGAAGACUGAAAAAAACAUGCCAACAGAAAGAUGAGAGGUAGUUCUUAUAUUUGUAGAAAUAUAUUUUAGAACUAAAAUAAAAAGGUGAGUAAAUUAUUUCUGCAGGGCAAUGAAACUGCAAUUAAAACUGUUCAAAACACUG